GUUCGAGCGCAUCCGCUGACUGUGGUGCCCGGUAUAUACGGUAUUGCGGAGUUACUGGUUCUGGUGCACAGUAUGUACUUAAGGAAACAGCUUUGCAUCUUCCAGAAGUACAGUUGGCCUGUAAAUUGGAGUUUGUUUUCGAAGGUUGCCUCGGGGGAACUAGAGCCCAAUCACACUGACCUCAUAAGGACCUCAGUUGGCUCAAGAGCAAGGAUGCCAUCAAAUACCUACCUCUCCCACCACUGGGCAAAGUCCAGCACAACAGGAUCAUUGGACGAACCAAUGCAUCUCAAGCAACAUACUCCACCCAUCCUUUCAAGGGAUGACUGACACAGAUUAAAGAGGUACAGUACAGUUUAACCAGAUGCAAGAGUUAAGUUCUUAGAAAACCUCACAGAUGAUCAAUUUGCAAGCAAUGUGCCUAUUUUAUAAUGUGUGUCAAUUGGAUAUGAACAGUGCACUGUAGCGUUGGGUGCCUGGACCUUAGAGUCUCUGUGAAAAUGAACAUAAUCCAUUGCACCAGAUAAACAAAGGAUGCAAAUAAAAAAAAGGAGAUGCCAAUUCUUCGAUUAGCAAGCUGAACUAUUAAAGUCAUGUACAUGGGAUUGACAGACA